rnacentral:rRNA from 1 species
CUUGACUGUAGCCUGGAAUUGGGUUCGGGCUUUUCUUGCGCAGACUAGGCGGGAGGCUAUGAAGAUUUCCUUCCGGGGAAGUUGGAGCCAACAGUGAGAGACCACUCUGGAAAGGCUAGAAUCCUCAUGGUGAUCCUUGAAUCAGGACACUUGACAGUUUCAGGCGGGCAGUUUUUCUGGGGCGGAAACCUCAUAAAAGGUAACUGAGGCGCGCAAAGGUCCCCUCAGUCUGGACGGAAAUCAGACAUUGAGUGUAAAGGCAAAAGGGGGCUUGACUGCAAGACCUACAAGUCGAGCAGGAGCGAAAGCUGGCCUUAGUGAUCCGACGGUGCCGUGUGGAAGGGCCGUCGCUCAACGAAUAAAAGUUA